rnacentral:rRNA from 1 species
GAUGAACGCUAGCGGCAGGCUUAACACAUGCAAGUCGAGGGGUAUAGUUCUUCGGAGCUAGAGACCGGCGCACGGGUGCGUAACGCGUAUGCAAUCUACCUUUUGCAGAGGGAUAGCCCAGAGAAAUUUGGAUUAAUACCUCAUGGUAUGUGAGAAUGGCAUCAUUUUCACAUUAAAGUCACAACGGCAAAAGAUGAGCAUGCGUCCCAUUAGCUAGUUGGUAAGGUAGCGGCUUACCAAGGCAACGAUGGGUAGGGGUCCUGAGAGGAAGAUCCCCCACACUGGUACUGAGACACGGACCAGACUCCUACGGGAGGCAGCAGUGAGGAAUAUUGGACAAUGGGCGCAAGCCUGAUCCAGCCAUGCCGCGUGCAGGAUGACGGUCCUAUGGAUUGUAAACUGCUUUUGUACAGGAAGAAACACUGGUUCGUGAACCAGCUUGACGGUACUGUAAGAAUAAGGAUCGGCUAACUCCGUGCCAGCCGCCGCGGUAAAAC